GAUGAACGCUGGCGGCGUGCCUAAUACAUGCAAGUCGAGCGAAGCGGGGACGGGUGAGUAACACGUAGCUAACCUCCUAUAAGGCUGGGAUCACUUAGGGAACCCGGAGAUACACCCGACACUAAUAGGUGGAACCGCGUUGCAUUAGCUAGUGGGUAAGGUAACGGCGUACCAAGACAACGAUGCAUAGACGACCUGAGAGGGUGAUCAGUCACACUGGAACUGAGACACGGUCCAGACUCCUACGGGAGGCAGCAGUAGGGAAUCUUGCGCAAUGGGCGAAAGCCUGACGGAGCAACGCCGCGUGAGUGAUGAAGGUCUUCGGAUCGUAAAACUCUGUAAUUAGGGAAGCGGUACCUAAUCAGAAAGCCACGGCUAACUACGUGCCAGCAGCCGCGGUAAUUC
rnacentral:rRNA from 1 species